GCACAAUUAAGGUCUCAUAUAAUCGGCCGGUGCAGGUCAGGGGAAAUGACGUCGUAACCAUAACGUUUUAAUUGGAAUAAUGUCAGCAGUGUACUUUUAUGUCACGCUUGGUAAACAGUGAGCUCUAUUGCUUGUUGAUUAAGGUCUUAAAAUAAAGAUUGAAAUUCCUGUAUUUUGCGAUUUUUCGAAAAAAAGGUUGAUAUGUUAGCUGUUGCCGAUUGUGAUGGCGCUAGCAAAGGGCUGGAGAAAGUGCGGGCUAAUGUCCGAUACAUAGUGUAGGAUCAUGUUCGAAGCGGUAUCGGAAGGGACCUAUCAUGUACCGGUUGCAGAAAGGACACCCUUAGAACGAUCUACACUGCGAAGAUUUCACAGAAACAAAGAGUUUUAUUCGAUUGAAAAUAAUCGACUGUACUAUAAGGGAAAAGAGCUUUUGUUUGAAUCAAAAUGCAGCAAAGUUAUAACUCAUAAUUACCAUAAAAGUAAAGGCAUUGUUGUGAGAAGGUUAUAUCAUCUGUUAAAACGAAGAUAUACUGGAGUUUCAGAGGCAAAGAUAAAGCAAGUUAUUUCUAAACUGCCGGAUUAUCAGAAGAGAAAUGCAAAGUUUUCGAACAAAGCCUCUCUUAAGCAUGUGUGCAGCAGUUCUGUGCACGAUAUGCUUCAAAUCGAUCUCGUCGAUAUGCAGAGACAUGCAGUUAUAUACAAUAAAGAAAAGUGUAAAUUCAUUCUAAGCGUAAUGGAUAUAUUUAGUCGGUUUGUGUGGUUACAAGCCAUACCUAGCAAACCAGCCGAUGUAAUCACUAAACAUUUGAGUCGCAUAUUUGCAGAAUUUGGUAAACCAAAAAUAAUCCAGCAUGAUAGAGGACGUGAAUUAGAUGGGGAAGUAAAACGGUUGUUGAAAGUUCUCAAUAUAAAGAAUAUCAAAAGUCGCCCUUAUCACCCUCAAAGUCAGGGGAAAGUUUAAAGGAUGCAUAAAACAUUGAAGCAAAAUAUUGCAUACGAUUUGACGCAUGCGAAUAGCUUUGGUGUAAACUGGGCAAAACAGCUACCAGAGUAUCAACGUAUACUAAACAAUGACCCAAAAGAAUGUCUAGCAUGGCAGUCACCGCAUGAAGUUUACUAGGGAAGGGAUCCUUAUAAUGACAAUUCAAAGCUAAAUCGCAAACUGCUAAUAAAGAAACUAAGAGAUGCCGCAAAAGUCGCAACACGACAGUGUAAUAGGCGAAACGACAGAGCUCAAGAGAAGGCAAACAAAACACCGAUUUAUAAUUUUGGAGACUCAGUGCUGUUACGCUAAAAGAAAAAAAGGUUUAUUAAAUAGGAGAAUAUGGGCAGUCGAUUUGGUGAUACAGAAGCAAACUAUUAAAACAAACAUGCACAAAAUUAAAUAUCGUGUCCCCGAAUCUGCUCGAGCAGGACAAUCUGCCCGUUCGGAAAAAAAUGGUACCACGUAAGCAACCUCACACAAUAUACGUGUACAUCAACUGGUGCAUCCAACAAGAAACGGUUACAUCGAAAACAGUAUUGCAUAGCUACAACAAAAUCGUCUCAGCUUGAAAACUUGAGAUCGGAAUUCGGAUUGCCCGUCGUAAUGGAUCCUAUUGGGAACGAAAACUGUCAGUUUGGAGCUGUUUCAUAUCACCUACGCCAUAUGGAAUACAUAGGUCGGAAGAAACGCUUAGACAAGGCGUAGAAACCUUUUUGAAGCAAUCACCCGUACUUGGUAAUAGGAUUUGUGGAUCAAACUGGUGGAACUCAAUACUUGAGCAACCACGAAAUUAUUUGUCGCGGAUGUCUACAGAAUAUGAAUACGGUGACCAAAUAACAUUGCAAGCGAUGUCGCAGCUGUAUAAUAUGCAAAUUUUAAUAAUGUCGACUAGGAAUAGUGCCACUACAUUGAUAAGUCCGGAUGGGAGUUCAUGUCUGUCAAGCCGUUACCCUCUAAUAAUACUUGGAUAUUACCCAGAGGGCGCCGGUGAGCAUUACGCGGUGAUAACUGAGCGCUGGCGGUGAUGACAUACAAUAUUCAAUACAAUUUUAUCGUAAUUUGUGUUGCUAUAAUAAUGUUACAGUUUUAUCACAUCUUACAACAUUUGGCCAAUCUUGAUAACAGCAGUCAAUUUAGCACAGGAAAUCAACAACUGGCUACUCGAGCCAAGAAUUAUAAGAAUUGAUUGGGUCAAUAUUGACCACCACUGACCAUUUCGGACAACACUGGACGCAACUGACAAUUAUGAAAAAUACUGACCACAAUUGACCAUUUCGGACAAUACUAAACAAAAACUGACCAUUCUGGUGGAAGUCGGCUCAAAGAACCUAGUCGGAUGUGCCUUGAUCAUGAAGAUAAUGGCCCUGUACAGUCGACCUCCUGCGAGUGUCCCAUGGGGCAAUAUGGCCUUGUACAGUCGACCUCCUGCCAGUAACCCAUGGGGCAAUACAAAUGGCCUUGUACAGUCGACCUCCUGCCAGUGUCCCAUGGGACAAUACAAAUGCCAUCAUGUAGCAGCAGCACUAUUGUUUGGGAAAAUUUGAAAAAUACGUUUUAAUUUAUCUUUUGGGAUGCAGUCUUUAGCGUACCAUUACCAAAGCAUACCAGUGAAUUACUGUAGUGAACCAUUAAAUGGAUGUGUUUAUACAGUAAGGUUCACACUUUAAUUCUUGAUAAGGUGAUGUAAACUUCUUAACAGCAUUGAAAAUGUGUAAAUUUACAGCUGUUUAUGUCAAUAUGUAGGAUAUAUACAGUCCAUAUUUGAUACAUCAUUUGAUUCAAAAAGAAUAUAAAUCAUUGUUUUUUAUAUUAAAACUGAGUUUUUUGUUCUUAAUUAUAAUUGUAUAUAAUUAGAAUAUAUUAAGUAAACAAGACACCAAGAACAAAUUUAUUUUAAAUAUACAGCGCAUAAUAUAAAACAAAAUAUACCACAGAUUGAGAUACUUCAAAUUAUUAUUAGGUUCAUUAACUAUUAUUAUUAUAAUAUCACUAUAGGAUGGUAAGCUUCAGUCUGCUUAGAGGUACACUUUAGCCUGGUACGCUUCGGUAAUGGUACGCUUAAGCAGACAUUCUUUCUUUUUGCUUUGUUACUCUAAUUGAUGCCUUUUGUGUGACAUAUUUUUCAUUACAAAUUUUAUAUGAAAUAAUGAACUCUUUUGAUUUUCUGUAUGUUUUAACAAGUAUGAUUUCGCAACAUUUCCCAACAAUGCACAAUAUAUAAUACCUGUUUCCAGCAUAUAACAAGCCUUUAUGAAUAAGGUUUUAUUCCACUUGCAUUUCAGAAUUAUUACAAGUACAAAAUAAAUAAUGCUCUUGAAUUGUUCAAGCAAGCAGGUGUUUUAUCACUCUUUACUUUAUCACAUUUACAGUUAAUAGCCUAUAACAUGCAUUAAUAAAAUCAGACGAAAAUGUUAUCUAGCCUGUCUAUUUAAAUUUCUUAAUUUGACUCACCAUAAUUAUAUGUCACUAGGCUGGGUAGUGAGGCCAGCGAGUUCUCUCAUUGCCAUUAAUGGCUACAAUAAUAUGUCACUAGGCUGGGUAGUGAGGCCAGCGAGUUCUCUCAUUGCCAUUAAUGGCUACAAUAAUAUGUCACUAGGCUGGGUAGUGAGGCCAGCGAUGAACAUGAUAACUGUGCGAGUUCUCUCAUUGCCAUUAAUGGCUACAAUAAUUCUACAAUCAGCUAGUAGUAUUGUUUAACCUGGACAUCUUAAUCCUAUAUAUAUUGUUUUAUUCAUUAUAUCAGAUUUGUUUGUAUACUUUUUAAGGUAUAGGAGAGCAAGCAAAACUGAUUUAAAGUACAGUUGGCUAAAACGUCCCAAGUCUGCUCCACCAAAGGCUACAGUGACCAUGAGUGAACUUUAUCCUGAAAAGCAAACUGGAUACAGAGCACUUAAGCGGAGUGUUACUGCUGAGGACAUGUCCUUUUUGACGAUGCUGGAACAGCAGCGUCCAAGAUCACCAAGCUGUCCUGAGAUUCAACAUUGAUUUCAAACUUUUUACUGCUUUACAUUGGAUACUGUUGGAGGAGUCAGCAUCUCAGGCAGCGCCAGUGCCAUUGGUUGAAGACUUGUUGCAGAGCCCUGAAUACCUGUCAGAAUCACAGCCACAUAUAUGGUUAUUGGUUAAACUAGUGCGGAGUACAGAAGAAAUAAAACUGACUGCAUC